rnacentral:misc_RNA from 1 species
AAAGUCGUAACAAGGUAACCGUAGGUGAACCUGCGGUUGGAUCAUUAAAAAGAUCUACGGAGGGCCAACCUGUCCCGGGCCGUUUCACGGUCUGGGUCAGUCAUAGGCUCUUCUUCUCACCUAAACAGUGAGUAAACAUCAUGUGAACUGUUUUGUCUCUGGCGGUGGGAUGGCUCAAAACCAUCUGUCAGCAUCCGAGGUCUCCCCUCGGUGUGCCGUGGACAAGCCGCCAACGGUGUAUGUUUCAUACAAACUUUUUGUUUCAUUUAAACCUGUCUGACCUACCUUUGUACAUAAACAAUACAAAAACAACUUUUGGCAACGGAUCUCUUGGCUCCC